rnacentral:rRNA from 1 species
GCGCUGCUAUCUGCAGUCGAGCAACUGAUUAGAAGCUUGCUUCUAUGACGUUAGCGGCGGACGGGUGAGUAACACGUGGGCAACCUGCCUGUAAGACUGGGAUAACUUCGGGAAACCGAAGCUAAUACCGGAUAGGAUCUUCUCCUUCAUGGGAGAUGAUUGAAAGAUGGUUUCGGCUAUCACUUACAGAUGGGCCCGCGGUGCAUUAGCUAGUUGGUGAGGUAACGGCUCACCAAGGCAACGAUGCAUAGCCGACCUGAGAGGGUGAUCGGCCACACUGGGACUGAGACACGGCCCAGACUCCUACGGGAGGCAGCAGUAGGGAAUCUUCCGCAAUGGACGAAAGUCUGACGGAGCAACGCCGCGUGAGUGAUGAAGGCUUUCGGGUCGUAAAACUCUGUUGUUAGGGAAGAACAAGUACAAGAGUAACUGCUUGUACCUUGACGGUACCUAACCAGAAAGCCACGGCUAACUACGUGCCAGCAGCCGCGGUAAUACGUAGGUGGCAAGCGUUAUCCGGAAUUAUUGGGCGUAAAGCGCGCGCAGGCGGUUUCUUAAGUCUGAUGUGAAAGCCCACGGCUCAACCGUGGAGGGUCAUUGGAAACUGGGGAACUUGAGUGCAGAAGAGAAAAGCGGAAUUCCACGUGUAGCGGUGAAAUGCGUAGAGAUGUGGAGGAACACCAGUGGCGAAGGCGGCUUUUUGGUCUGUAACUGACGCUGAGGCGCGAAAGUGUGGGGAGCAAACAGGAUUAGAUACCCUGGUAGUCCACGCCGUAAACGAUGAGUGCUAAGUGUUAGAGGGUUUCCGCCCUUUAGUGCUGCAGCUAACGCAUUAAGCACUCCGCCUGGGG